rnacentral:rRNA from 1 species
GUUACAGCAGCCGCGGUAAUACGAAGGGGGCUAGCGUUGCUCGGAAUUACUGGGCGUAAAGCGCACGUAGGCGGCUUUCUAAGUCGGGGGUGAAAUCCUGGAGCUCAACUCCAGAACUGCCUCCGAUACUGGAGAGCUUGAGUCCGGGAGAGGUGAGUGGAACUGCGAGUGUAGAGGUGAAAUUCGUAGAUAUUCGCAAGAACACCAGUGGCGAAGGCGGCUCACUGGCCCGGUACUGACGCUGAGGUGCGAAAGCGUGGGGAGCAAACAGGAUUAGAUACCCGAGUAGUCC